GUGAUGAUGAUUGUGUUAAUUUUUUGAUUUUUACAAAAAUGAUACACUCUGUUGUCCUCUAAGAAGUACUGAACAG
rnacentral:snoRNA from 1 species